rnacentral:rRNA from 1 species
AGCGAACGCUGGCGGCAUGCCUUACACAUGCAAGUCGAGCGCGAAAGGGGGCAACCCCGAGUAGAGCGGCGGACGGGUGAGUAACGCAUCGGAACGUGCCCAGUAGUGGGGGACAACCUCGAGAAAUCGAGGCGUAAUACCGCAUACGACCCACGGGUGAAAGCGGGGGACCGCAAGGCCUCGCGCUAUUAGGAGGCGGCCGAUGUCCGAUUAGCUAGUUGGCGGGGUAAGAGCCCACCAAGGCGACGAUCGGUAGCUGGUCUGAGAGGAUGAUCAGCC